CGGCUUGUUCCACUCACCGUCGUUGCUGUUCUGCAUGACCAUGAUGAUAUCUGCUUUCUCCAGAGCCAGCUCGUCAUUCUCCCGAGCUUUGUACGUCCGUAUGCACUGAACCUGAGGAACCAGCUCUGAGCAGAACCCUCAGGAGGCCUGGGCAGAACACUUCCUUCUUUGACCUCGACCAGAUCCCAUAUGCAGAGGCGGCAGGUUGCUGGGGGAGGCACUGGAGGCAGAGAUUGGGAGAGCAAGAGGAGAAGCGUCGUAUUCAGGUACCCUGCACCCCACUCUCCUGACUUCCAGCAAACUCCUUCUCUUCUUCUAUAUGUCAUAAAAGUCAUAAGACUCAGCAAAUAAACUGAGGAAGAAAAAGUGUCUAGAGUUCAGACA